rnacentral:rRNA from 1 species
CGGAGGGUGCGAGCGUUGUCCGGAAUCACUGGGCGUAAAGGGCGCGUAGGCGGCGCGGGUAGUCGUCGGUGAAAGCUCAGGGCCCAACUCUGAGUCGGCCGGUGAUACUCCCGUGCUCGAGCACUGUAGAGGCAGGUGGAAUUCCGGGUGUAGCGGUGGAAUGCGUAGAGAUCCGGAAGAACACCGGUGGCGAAGGCGGCCUGCUGGGCAGUAGCUGACGCUGAUGCGCGACAGCGUGGGGAGCAAACAGGAUUAGAUACCCUGGUAGUCCACGCCGUAAACGAUGGGCACUAGGUGCUUGGGGGAGCGACCCUCUGAGUGCCGGCGCUAACGCAUUAAGUGCCCCGCCUGGGGAGUACGGCCGCAAGGCUG